rnacentral:tRNA from 1 species
GCCCGGCUGGCUCAGUAGGUAGAGCACGCGACUCUUGGUCAUGAGUUCAGAGUUCAAACCCCAUGUUGGGCA